rnacentral:lncRNA from 1 species
GAAUAAGAUGACAAAGCAUUAGAGAAAAAAUAGGUGAGACAAAUCCAGAAAAUGCCAAAAUCAGGUCUGGCUCCAGGUUUUGGAGAGCCUGAGGUAAGAUGCCAGUGAUAGACUAUACUCCUUAAGCAACAAAGACUGUUAUAAUGACAUAUAUUUCAUAUAUAUUUAUAUAGUAUUGGCUUUUAAACAAAUACAAUAACCAUUAAACACUUAUCCAGCAGUACGUUUCCGAGCACAAUUCAAAGUGUUGGUGCUGACCUUUAAAGCCCUAAAUGACCUUGGCCCAGUAUACCUGAAGGAGCAUCUCCACCCCCAUCACUCAGCCCAGACACCGAGGUCCAGCUCUGAGGGCCCUCUGGCGGUUCCCUUACUACAAGAAAUGAGGUUACAGGGAACCAGGCAGAGGUCUUUCUCGGAAGUGGCACCCACCCUGUGGAACAUCCUCCCAUCAGAUGUCAAGGAGACAAACAACUAUCUGACUUUUAGAAGACAUCUGAAGGCAUCCCUGUUUAGGGGAGUUUUUAAUGUUUUAUCACAUUUUUAAUAUUCUGUUAGGAGCAGCCCAGAGUGGCUGGGGAAACCCAGCCAGAUGGGCGGGGUAAAAUAAUGUUAUUAUUAUUAUUAUAAAGGCAGAAUUUAGAGAAAGGAGUUGGCCUUUAAUUACAGAUACAAUGGAGAAUACUUUAUUCCAAAAAGUUUUUAACCUGGGGCCAUUCCCUCCAAACAUGAAUAAAUGAACCAAGCUUCCAACAGCUCUUCCAACAUAAAGGGGGAAAAGGAGGGGUAAUUUUUUGCCAGCCUGGUAUCACCAGUGACACUCCAUGCUCACUCAGGGAGACAACAGGUUAAAAGGGGGGUGGAAUAGGAAGCAGUGAAGAUGAGGAGGUAGAGCAGUCACCCUAGUUGCUGCCCAAAGGAAGAAGGCAGGUGACUGAACACUUCUUCAUCUCAACUUUUCAUUGCUGUUGCUGAUUCUCCACUGAAGCAUGUGGUAAUGAUGGUGAGAAGAAGCAACAGCACAGAACUGUGACUGAUGGUGGGUCCUUGCAGUAUGUUGAGGCCUGGCUGCUGCCCAAGGAUGCUCUUGGCAGUCAUGUCUAUUCCCAUGACUAUAACAUAUUAGUGUGUCUCUGUGUGAUGAAUUCCUUUCAGCAUUAUUUCUGUCUCUUUGGCAGCUGAUAAUGUUGGGAUCUAGGGACGCGGGUGGUGCUGUGGUCUAAACCACUGAGCCUAGGUCUUGCCGAUCGGAAGGUCGGCGGUUCGAAUCCCUGCAAUGGGGUGAACUCCGGUUGCUCGGUCCCAGCUCCUGCCAACCUAGCAGUUUGAAAACAAGCCAAAAGUGCAAGUAGAUAAAUACGUACUGCUCCGGUGGGAAGGUAAACGGCAUUUCCGUGUGCUGCUCUGGUUUUGCCAGAAGCAGCUUAGUCAUGUUGGCCACAUGACCCGGAAAAACUGUCUGCGGACAAUUGUCGGCUCCCUCAGCCAGUAAAGCGAGAAGAGCGCCACAAUCCCAGAGUCAUUCGUGACUGAACUUAACUGUCAGGGGUCCUUUACCUUUAGCUUUUUAAUGUUGGGAUCUAGGCAAAAUUCUGUAGCAAACCCAAAAUUCUGUAGCAAACCCAAAGCCCACAUAAAAUAAGGAAAUGAUAGUAGUGCAAACAUGCACAAAGAAAAUCUGUGCUCUAGUGGACAGGAUUGUAUUUAGUCCUCCCCAUUCCACGCUGCUUCUCUCUAACUUUUUAUAACUCCUCCAAGGUACUGGGCACCACCACCACACUUGCAUCUGAGCCACAUUCAGUUGUGCACUCAUGCAAUGAUUAGGGCAUUUCCUCACACCAUAUAAGACUACAGCUCAGAGCAGUGUGGUGAUCCAUUGGUCCUUUGCAGAAAGGAAGAGCUGCUUUUGACAUUGCUUCAGUCCCUCCAAGGCAACUUAUUGUACAGGAAAGGGCCAUAGCUCCAAAGUACGGCACAUGACUUUUAUGUGAAAAUCCGUGGUUCAAUCGCUGGCCUUUCAAGGCAGGGCUGGGAAAGUGGCCUCUGUCUGAAACACAGGAGAGCUGCAGCCAGUGAGUGUAAGAAAUACUGAACUAGAUGGGCCAAUACUCUGAUUUGGUUUAAGGCAACUCCCUAUAUUCCUAAAGAACCUAAGAGUGAGAACCAGUUAUUCCAUUCCAGUGAUACUUCCCUGUGUUCUCGAUUCAAGGCUUAAGGCCUCCAUCCACAGCUGGAACGCUUCUCUGGAUCAAUACAGAAGGAUUUGCUCCAUUUGCAUCCCAUAUCCAAUGCUUCCAUCUGACAACACCAUGUGAUGCUUCUGCAGCUCAGCUGCAUGAGGUGGCCAAAACCAGGGCCGGAUUUAGGUUUGAUGAGGCCCUAAGCUACUGAAGGUAAUGGGGCCCUUUAUAUGUCCAGCUGUCCUUUGUCAACAACAAAUUGUCGCUGUUUCUUGUGUUGAAUAUAUGCUAUAUGGUAAUUUAUGGACCUAAUAGGUAUCUAAAGCCAUUCGCACAUAAAAAAAUAUGUAUUUUAUCAAAGUGAUUGUUGAACUGAAAUACAAUUAAGAAGAAGCCUACACAACACAAAACACUGUUGCUGAAUGUAGGUUUUAUUUUAUUUGGUUUUUUUAUCUCAUAUUUUGGAAAUGUACAUCCAGGUUUUUUUCUCCUUUAAUUUUUUUUUUUUUUUGAGGCUGCCAAGAGAGUGGGGCCCUAAGCUAUAGCUUGUUUAGCUUAUAUGUAAAUCCAGUACUGACCAAAACCCUAACCUAUGGUAAUCCAUAAGUCAGUUGCCUACAUGUUUAGCACACAAAUAAUUUCUCUCAUUCUCUCUCUCAUUGAAAGGCAAGGGUUUAAAGCUAUAAAAACAAAAUGGUGACCUCAAAUAACCAUUCUUGUGCAAAACUUUCUUCAUGGAAGGCCACCUGCUCCCCCUCCCCUUUUAAAUGUCUCAAAUACUAGAAUAGAAAUAGCACAUAAAAACCGCAAUAGCUUUUCAAAAAUAGUCAUUAUGGAAAAGGUUGCCCAUCCUACUGCAAAGCUUUCCAUUCAAGGGAAUGUACUAAGCUCAAGUGCCAUACAUAAUUGCCUACCACACUGCCUGUAUUUUAAGUGUAGGCUACUGAUUGGGAGUACAAAGGAAGCCCAUCAAAACAGAAUUCAGUAGAACAACCAUUAACUCACAGUGCUGUGGAUUAACGCCUCUGCAGAUCUUGAGGGAAGAAAGAUUAAAGCUUGGCAACCGUAGUAAGGUGCUAGAAUGAGAACCAUUAAGAGACAUCUAACACAGGCCCACAAAGAGAGGGAAGAAUCAAGGACAACAAGUGUUCACCACUGAUUAAACUGAAGUGGGACAGAAGAUGCUAAGCAGUCAUCAUCAUAACAGCUACUGCUGGGGAACUGUUGAAAGCUCUUUGUGAAUUAGGAAGCAGCUUCUCGUUCAUUCUCAACUACUGAUUCAUUCAGGGAUGGUUGGAAACAUAGAGUUGGAAGGGACCGUGAGAGUCCAAUCCCCUUCAAUGCAGGAAUCUCAACUCUUCUUCUCUUUCUUCUCUUCUUCUUCGGUGAUCACUCGUAGCCAAGUAAGAUUGUCUUCCAUAAACACAUUUUGGGGGUUUGGGAUGGGUUUUGGGAAGACACCUGUGCGUGAAUUCGUUUUGUGUGUGUGUGGAUCAGUGCAUGGACCUCCAGAAUGAAUUAAGUUCGUAACCAGAAGUACCACUGUAUGUUUUUAAAGUGCAUUUACUCAGAAAUAAACAUGUCUGACUGCAAGGGAGGGAGGGUGUCCUGUUUUAAGAUUUAAAUGCCCUACAGUGGUACCUCGGGUUAAGAACUUAAUUCAUUCUGGAGGUCUAUUCUUAACCUGAAACUGUUCUUAACCUGAGGUACCACUUUAGCUAAUAGGGCCUCCUGCUGCCACCGCCGUACAAUUUCUCUUCUCAUCCUGAAGCAAAGUUCUUAACCCGAGGUACUAUUUCUGGGUUAGUGAAGUCUGUAACCUGAAGCAUCUGUAACCCGUGGUACCACUGUAUAUGAAAUUGCUGGUUUUUACUUUGUUUCUGGUCUGUGGGUGCUUGGAUGGUUUGUGUGCGUGCUUGGUCCUAUUGAAAUGACCAAAGUGUUUAUUUAUUCCCAGAUUAGCAUUGGAAUGCCCCAUUUUUCUUCUAGGACCCAGGAACGCUCCCAUUACUUCUUACCAAUGGAGUGUGUGAUUUCUAGCUUAGGUGAGAACAGCACCAUAGAAAGGGUGGCCUUUUUGGGAGCACUGCAGUAGCGUCAACAACCCUCCACCACUUCCCCUCAUGUGCCUGCUUCACCCCCUCUUUUUUACAGCUUUUACAUCACUGUUCAUCAGCUGAUCUUUGUCCUGUGAUUAGCUUUCUCUGAGACCAAGACUUGUUUGGUAAAUGUUGAAUUUCCUAGCCAGGUUAAAUGGCGGUGGUAGGGGGCGCCAUUUUGUGGUGCGCCUCAUGUGCCAAAAUGUCUUGGGCUGGUCCUGCUUUGGUACAUUAGCUUAUGAUCUGGAUGGGGGGCAAAGGUUAGUGAGCAUUAUUUCCUCAGGACACCCUUUCUCCAUGCUCAAUCUGAGGAGGGGAAAAGAAGGGGAAGAAAUUAAAACUAACUCCCAUGUCCUACUGUUAUAAGGGAGAGAAUAAAGUUUGGCAAUCAUCAGGGUUUUUCUUCUUCUUCUUUUCCCUCGGAGAGAACAAAGUGAGAAGCAAUUAUGUUGCUUGGGCUACAACAUUAACUUAAAUUAACAGGGAAAACAUUUAAAAAGCUAAUCUAAGUUCCAUAAAUGCUUUGCCAUCUUGCAAAUAUAAAACUGAAGUGGGUGGGUGGGGGAAAUAAAGUGCUCCCCCCCCCGCACUUAGUGUAAUAAUGCACUUCAGUUAAAGACAGAUAAAAGGGAUGUGGGAGAAUGUACAACGGUGCCACCAAGAGGAUUCAAAACUUGGCUGUGUAACAUUUUAAUCACACAUGUGCACACUCACAUACUCACCAGGAGGAGGAUAGCUUACAGUUUUCUCUGAACUAAGAAUUACAUGGAUUAUUCAAUGGAUACAUUUCAGUCCUAUUAGAAGCUGAAAGGGACUCCAAGGGUCAUCAAGUCCAACCCCCUGCAAUGCAGGAAUCUGUUGCCCAACGUAGGGUUUGGACCCAUGACCCUGAGAUUAAGUGUCUCGUGUUCAGCCAAUAUACCAGAGCAUGUACCACUCUGCUGAGACAAUGCAUGGACAGGUAAGAAGGUAAAAGGUAAAGGACCCCUAGAUGGUUAAGUCCAGUCAAAGGCAACUAUGGGCUUGCAGCACUCAUCUUGCUUUCAGGCCAAGGGAGAUCGGGUCCUCCCUUAAAGAGGGCACGUGUUGCGGCGAGACCUUGCAACCAAACCCUGUGUUGUGGGUGGGUGUGAUUGGAUAGCCACAACACCCAAUUGGUAGGUCCCUUGAUGCUAGGUUUAAUUAGGCCAAUGGGAUGCUGAACAGAUCAAGGGACCUAUAUAUACCCAUGCACAUGACCCAGAGUUUCUUCUUUCAGUGCGUGCAUCAGAACACCUGUCCACCUCUCCCUAGUUUUAGGGCUGUGCGCUUGACCUUGCUAUGUCAUCGUGUGUCAUCUGUCGUUGGGACAGGGGCACGGCAGGAAUUUCCCCCACUUGGCUGAUUGGCUGGUGCCAUUUGGGUGUCGCCUGCCACAUAGCAAAUCGUCACAACUCGUAAGGUUUCGGAUAGGCUCUGGUUCAGGUGAUAGGGAUGGGGGAAUGCUCUUGCCAUCCCUAUGUGAAGGGUAUUCUGUUAAAGGAAUCCAAGGACUCAAUGGUUUGGUCAACCUGUGAGGGGGUUGUGCCUGUGGCUGAGUCUAGGGGGACAUCUGGGUGGUGGACAUAGCCUGUUCCUGGCUUUCUGGCUAUCCAGGUGUUCACCCUUGGCUGACCUAUGCUGGUGCCCUGGGUCAGCGCUACCUGCAACGGUGCAGGGAGCUAGUUGAACCAGAGCCUAGGCAACCACUCACUUGCUGUAAUCAAUAAAGUUGUGGCCUAAAUUCUGCCAAAAAACAAACCAAAAUUUGAGUCUUGUCUGAAUUUAUUUAAGGGGGAGGUUGAAAGGUCUGAAUAUGCAACUGGCGUUUGUCCACAGACAGCUUUCCGGGUCAUGAGGCCAGCAGGACUAAACCACUUCUGGCGCAACGGAACACCAUGAUGGAAGCCAGAGCGCAUGGAAAUGCCGUUUUACCUUCCCGCCACAGUGGUACCUAUUUAUCUACUUGCACUGGUGUGCUUUUGAACUGCUACGUUGGCAGAAGCUAGGACCGAGCAACGUGAGCUCACCCCGUCAUGGGGAUUCAAACAGCCGAUCUUCUGAUUGGCAAGCCCAAGGGGCUGAGUGGUUUAGACCACAGUGCCACCUGCACCCUAUGGGCAGGUAGGGUCUCAGUGAGAAUAGGAUGCUCAACUAAAUGCAGCACUAGCGUGAUCCAGCAGGCUUUUCUCAUGCUUUUAUUCACGUUAACUACAAUGGGCAAUGGGAAAGCCAUAAUUGUUUCUCUUUUGUAGCUGCACUGCAGAAGAUCUAGCACACAAGUAUACAUUUGACUAUGGAAAUGUGUGAUGUGGACAUCAGCAUAAGUCAAAAUUGCUGCUUCUCUUUAUUUAUAUAGCAGGGAAACAAUGCAAGAGACAUGAAGUCACAUGGCUUCAUUCACAUGGAGAACUGUCACAACAGGCAAACCUGCAAAAAUCCUCAACAACAAGCAAUUUACUAUCCCAGCAGUUGGGCUUCCCUCCCCUUUUUGUCUUGUUUAUUACUGAAGCAAUUUGCAUCAGGAUGAGUGCCUUUUCCAUCAGCUCACAUUUUUGCUUCUCCUGCUGCUUGAUCCUGCCAGGAAAGCCUAAUUUUCUCGCUUUGAUACCUGCCUGUUGCCAUAGAAAAGAGAUAAUGUCUCGAAUUUGACACUGCAACUUUAUGACUGCAUAGAAAAGGUAUGUCUUUGUGCUGAGUAGCCUUGCUUUGAAACAGGAAUCUGAUAGUUUUGCUUUGAAACAAUAUCUGAUAGUUAAAGGGGAAAGAAAAAUCAGGGUGUUGUUUCAAAAUUAAGCCAAUUAUCCAUAUAGGCAAUAAUACUCAUACUCCAAAGUCUUCUUCUUCUUCUUCUUGCAUACCAUAGAAGCACAGUGCAAACACAUGCAGGUUUACUCAGAAGUAGGGUUGGGGGAGAACAUUGAGUCUGUUUGCAUUUUAAUGAGAAACCACCUAAUUCACACUUCUCAAUCCAAUAUGCUGUGUGUGUGCCUCUCUAAAUAACUGUAGCAUAAUGAAUAAAUAACUUGCUGAUAGCCCUUAUUCAGCCCAUUUCCAUGGCUACAAAAAAUUCUUACGUCCUUUUCUAUGACUCCUGUGCUUGUCCAUCCUUCAGCUUCCAGAUAAUGAGACCACUGCUGUCUAAGCAUGCUAUGGACCAGAGUAUGGAAACCCUAUAGGAGAAAAUUUCUUAAUGCAAACGAGGGAAUGAGCUGCAACUAUCAGGACACAACACUUCCUGGCACCUCUUUGCACUCUUGCAGUUGGUCUAAAACUGCUUGCUUAUUUGUUUCCCCUGAUUAUUUUGAGUCUCCAAUGAAAGUGGUUUGAUUACCUAGCACUUGUGAAUAUGUUUGAAAAGGGUACAGUUCUCUUCCAAGACUUCAGGCUAUGCAGUUGACAUACACGCUGUCUCACCAACACAACAAUUAGAGAUCCAAUUGACUAAUUUUUUUCCCUGUGCCAACUUUCCCCUGCAAGUUAAUUGUGUGGUGCUUUUUUUUUGUAACAUUGCAAUAAUUUAAUAAUUGCUUUCAAAGCAAUUAUCUUUCCUAAGAGGAAAACAAAGCACAGCAAAAAAGAAAGAAAUCACAGAUUGUAAACUGCAGCUUGGCUUUUUACAAUGGUCUGCUUGAGGAUUCACAUGGCCAAUUUGCAAGGGGGUUGUCAUUUGAUUACUGUAGUUUGCAAUCUUCCCAUCUUAGUCAAUACGUAGAUAAUUAUUAGGCUUCUUCAGUCACAUAAGGGGUAGAGCAGGAAUGAGCAUGCUGCCCCUGCCCCUUCUACCAUGCCAGUUGCUGCUUCCCUCAAUGAAAUGAGGGCUAUUGUUUGCAGCGGGGAGCCUGCCAUCCUGACUGUGCCCUACUUGGGCAGAGAAGGCUCCCCACUACAGGCAUUCCACCCCUCAUGCAUGGAGGUUGGUGCAGACUGCAAUGAGGCUGUGACAAAGGGGACAAGACCAAUGGGCUCAUCCAGCAGUAGUUGGCAGCUCAGGUCAGUGAGGCUUCUUAGCUUCCUGUUGUCCACAUGGCUGCAGCGUACUGAGAGUGGCAGCGAGGGUGGUGCAGUGCGAACGUACUGGUGGACCUAAUCCAUCACUCCUACCAGUGUUUUCCAUCAUGGCAACUUUGCCACCAUUUUGUCCUUCCACCAAGUAGGCUUCAUCAAAGCAGGCGAUGGGAGGUGAGGUUCCCUGCCCAUCACUGUUGGCUCAUCCCCAUUAGGCGGGGCGAAGCCACAAAGUCAGGCAGCAGAAGCCCCCAGAUAGCACCCCUAUGGGUACCCUACCACCUUUGCCACCAGUGCAGAAGUGACACUGAUUUCCAGUGAGAUCUCGCGGAGGCAGAGGGGCAGCAUGGCAGCACUUCCUGUUUCACCUCAAGUGUCAAAAUAGGGCACACCACUCUGCCCUCUCGUCAUUAUCUUAUGAAGGGGAUAAUGACUGGAAAUGGCUACUGACAUGGUUCAAUCAGCGGCCAUUGGGAAGGAAGUGCAAAACUGUGCUAUCUUCACAGAUAUUUCUGCUUUCAAAGAAACUGACCAUACACGUUUGGUACAUUAUAACUGUUCCAUAACCUUUUAACUUGGAACUCACCCUUCUUUAGAAGAGGCCAUCCAUAAAACACAAUAGCCAACAUCGCAUAACAGCAAUACUCUGUAGAUUUCUGACCUCAGCAGACAAUAUCACAACCUUCAACAGCCUAUAAAAAGUUGAAAAUCUUCAAGUGCCUAAAACUGUACAAAGUUGAUAUCAGCCUUAAUUAAAGAGGAAGUGCUAUCCCAAACUAGGUAGCUAUUGCUGAGAAGGACCUCUGGUGGGUGACUGAGAAACCUUGUCAAUAUCAUCAGAAUAAUUUGAAGUUUCUUUCAAAAAUACUACAUAUAUUUUGCAAAUGAGAGUUUUUGCUAACAUUAUUCAGUACUUUUGGCUUCCCACAAACACCACCAGGAUUCCAGCUGAGAGCUCCUUGGAUUUUCUUCAGAUUUGGAGGAGACAGGACAAAAUUUCAGUAGCAAUUCUUUCUAAUUGGGCAUCAGUGAGACCACUCAUUGAUCUUUGAGCUAUCAAAUAUCAGAUUUUAGAAUGUUGUAUUAUUUUAUUGUUGUUAGCCGCCCUGAGCCUGGCUUCAGCUGGGGAGGGCGGGAUAUAAAUAAAAUGUAUUAUUUAUUAUUAUUAUUAUUAUUAUUAUUAUUAUUAUUAUUAUUAUCAUUACUAUUAUUAUUCUCUUUGAAUGAAACUUGAUGGCACCUUAGAAAUGUGAAAAAAAACCACUGGGAAGUUUUAAUAUUAUCUUAACUCUCCCCUGCCCUCAUCUGAAUCCCAGGUAAUGUUUUGGAGAAAGCUGGUGGAAAUCUGAAGUUCAGCUUAGUGAGGAGACUGAAGUUGCCAAACUUCUUUUCUUGAUCGUCAAUCUCAGGGGGUUGUUAAACAAGAAGAAGCUUUAGGAUUCAGACAGUGUUUUCUCCUCUACUGACUGCUGAAGAUGGACCGGUGGAGCUUUGAUUUAUGUUCUCAGUGCUCAAGACAAAUGCAGACAGCUCCAAAGUUGUACAGUCCUAGUUACGGUUGAAAGAAACUGGGAGGGGAAAUGGCAAAAGUGUUUAAAGGCCGAAUGCUUCCAGUAACAAUGGACCCAAG